rnacentral:lncRNA from 1 species
AACUCAUGAACCUCAAAAUAAAAAUAAACUACCAUGAACUUACCUUCAAUUUUUCUUCCCCAAGUGACCGAACAUUCAAGAGCUUUCUCUUCUCCUUUCUCUUCUCCAACUUUAGGCUAUAAUGAACAAAGAUGGACAAAACUUUAUUCUUUUCACCCCUUUUUCUUUUAAUAAAAUUUAAUAUUUCAUUUAUUUAAUUCUUUAAUACAAAAGAUAUGAAAUUUCCAUCAUGAAAUAUUUAUUUAACCCAUUAUCAUGAAACAUUUACCUAACCCAUUAUCAUGGAACAUUUACCUAACCCAUUAUCAAUUUGUACCAUGAAUUAUAGAUAUCAAGUGUUCAUAUUGUCUACAACAACAUGAUGGCUGACUACUUCAUAUAAAAUGAGAGGUUUGUCAUGCAAAUCCUUCUAUUUUACACUAUUAUUUAUUUGGCCACUUCAAUUUAGCCUAUAGCAUUUUCAAACAUUUUUACAUAGGUCCUAUUUCAUAAUUUCACUCACAAAUGACAAAAUUAAAACAUAAAAUUUUGUCAACAUUCACAGAAUUCCCGAAAAUUGAAACGUUAAAGCAAACGAAAGAAAAAAUCUUUUCAAAAUCUUAAAGAUAGGAUCUAUUCGAGAAUUGAAGGACGGAGCUCCAGGUUACUAUCACAAGAAAGAAAGGAGGUCUUCAUUAAAUCAAUGCUUCAGGCAAUACCAACCUACGCUAUGUCAUUUUCUCUUUUACUGAAAUCAUUAUGUGAGGAGUUAGAAAAUAUUUUUUGCUAAAUUUUGGUGGCAAAAUGGCUAUGGAAAAAAAAAUACAUUGGUGUCAGUGGAAGCAUGUGUCAUCCUAAAGAAGAGGGAGGGAUAGGUUUCAGAAGUAUAAAUCAAUUUAAUAUAUCAUUAUUAGCAAAGCAAGAUGGAGGAUUUUAAAUACCCCAAACUCUUUAGUUGCGUAAGUACUUAAAGCGAAAUAAUUUCCGAAUGAGGAUUUUUUGAAUUCGCGUUUGGGAAACAAUAGUUCUUAUAUAUGGAAAAGUAUAUGGGCGACAAAGGGCAUCUUGGCAGAAGGACUUUGCUGGAAGGUGGGUAAGGGCACGAAUAUUUCAGUUAUUAAUGAUGCUUGGAUUCCAGAUGCAAGAAAUUUCAGAUUAUCGUCGUUUGCUCAUAAUAUGUGAAAUUAUAAAGUUGCUGAGCUAAUUGAUAAUAAUGACAGAAAAUGGAAGCGGGAGUUGAUUGUCAAUACCUUUCCGGAGGAAGAAGCUGAAAAGAUCUUUCGUAUUCCUUUGGAGAAAGAACCUCAUGACGAUUUUUUGGUCUAGAGCGGUGAACCUUCAGGAGAAUACUCGGUUCGAACACCUAUAAACUAUUACAAAUUUCUGAAGAUCCUAGAGCUUAUGCUUUGCAAACCGACUACAGGAAGUUUUACAAAAAAACUCUAGCUCCUAAAUCUACCUUCAAAAAUUAAGAUUAGCGUCUGGAAAAUAUCAUGGAAUUAUUUGCCUACACGGGUUAACGUGCAGCAAAGGAGGCUAACAAAUAUUGUAAUUUGUCCUCGGUGUGGAAAAUGGGCAGAAACUAUGGAUCACCUUUUUCGCGAAUGUCCUGUUUUAGUGUAAGUUUGGACAGAAUUAUCAAUCCCGAAUUUUUUACAGGAAUCUAAUUUGGAGUUUCUACAGUGGCUCACCUGGGUUUUUACUCAGAACACUCCCUCUCAAUGUAGAAUAUUUUUUUGUGCGCUAUGGGCCAUUUAGGGAGAAAGGAACGCUAGAAUGCAUGAGAAGGUAAGCAGAACUGGGAAAGAAAUAGCUAGCUUUGUCAAUAGUUAUAUUACAAAACUAAAUGGGGUUGAAUAAAGAACCCCCAAAAUUUCGCAGGAAGUUAGAAAAUGGAAUUACCCACCUGGUCAGUAAAUAAAAUCAACUUUGAUGGAGCAUACGAUGGGCAACAUUUUCAAUUGGUUUCGGAGAUUGUGGCUAGAAAUAGCGAAGGGAAUGUUCUUCUAUCUUGUUCAGAAAUUCAUCAAGAAGUGGCCUCCGCCUUCACUCUGAAGCACUCGCUUGUCGCGAAGUAGCCCAAAUGGGAAUAUACAUGCGAUGGCCAAAGAUUGUUAUAGAAGGCGACUCAUUAUCAAUAAUGAAAAAGUGCAAGGCAGAAAAACAAGAUAAAUUGUAGGUAGGAGCAUAUAUACAUGAUAUUCAACAAAUAACAUCUAGAUCUAGAAACUUAGUGUUUGAAUAUAUUCCAAGAUCAGCAAAUGGUUUAGCACAUAUACUAGCAACUGAAUCGUUAAAAAAGGAGGAGGUGUACUUGUUAGAAAGCAUCCCUGGAUAUGCUAAAAACCAGAAAGAAUUUGAUAGAGUGCGAGAACCAGAUUGAAAACGGAUAGAGAAAAAAAGGAAGGAAGGAAAGUUUCAAAUGAGCAGAUCAAUGGUUUUGGUGAUAAAAGCUUUCGUUGGAAAACUUUAACCGUCUUUAAGAAGAAAUGGGAGAUUGAUAGACAAGACGGGCAUCAGUGUUCUUUGAUUGGGCAAAGUUGCGGUGAUAAUUAUGAGCUUCUAGACUAUUCUUAUUUUAUUUUCUUUUUAGAAAUUCUUUUUAAUUCGGGCCAUUUUUUAAUGUUGGGCCUUCUCUUCUGUUUUAGUUCUAUUAUCUGUUUUGGACUAUAUGUUUUAUUUUUUUAUUCAUAUUUUAAUAAAGCCCAAUCUGAUUAUUAGUUUUAAAAAAAAUUAUUUUUUGUUGACUAAAUUAUUUUUUUUGUGAAAUAAAUAUAGAAAAAUUUAAAAAAUAUUUUUUGUAAAUUAUUUUGAGUGAAAUAAACUAAGCCUAAAAACAAAAGAGAAACACAUAUAUAAUAGUAGCUUUUGAAAGCUGAAAUAAUUUGCUGGAAUUAUAUGUUUUGUUCAAUAAAUUAAAUCCCUUGAAUGCAUUCCAAUAAGCCGCAAGUACUAUUAUAUAAAUAAAACAUAAGAAACUUGAUAUGGGUUAGAGAGUUCAAAUUCUAAUAGUGUUCUCAGUACCGAUGGGCCUAGACAAUGAAUACUCCAAAUUCAAAGUUUGCGUUAUGGAUCCACUAAUUUCAUCAAAAUAAUAUAUUCAUAUUUGGGGUAGACACUAAUAAAUAUUAUUCAAUCUGGUCCAACCAAUGAAUCGAUUUAUCUGAAAAACAUAUACCAUAAUAUCUUUCACGUGUUAAAUCCAACUGUUAUUUUCUUUCUUUCGUACUCUUCCCCUUUUCCCAUAACCCCAUCCAGCGGAUGAAAAAGGAACACCUAUCAUUUUCAGAAGCUUAUCAUAUCUACAGUACUAUGGAUUUCGUUUUUAUAGAUAAACUUAGUGGGAAUUCUUUUAACAUAAUCUAUAAUCACAUAUUGAUAAUGUUUCGUGACUCAAAUCUGUACUUAUUUUAUGACAAAUUUCUGCAACUUUCCCACAGUUUCAAAUGUUCAUACCAUUUUGUCAACGACAUCUCUCGACAGCUUUAACCAAUUGCAAUUUAAAAAAUGUGGAAAACUUUUUACCCCUUUGGGUUUUUUCUUAUGCCAUGACUUCUAAUUCCUCACAAAUUUUAUAAUUUAAUUCUCACCCCUUAAAAUUAUUUCUGGACUCAUCCCUGUUAAAGGUAUUUAGCUUCUCACGAACUGACUAUAUAGCAUGUGAUCCCAUUAGAAUGUCAAAAAGCAAUGUAGAUUCAAUAUUUCACAUUGAAAAUCCGCAGAACCAUGUAUGUCGCAAAAUUCUUGCCACGUGUUUUUCACAGAAGUUAAACUUCAAUGUGUCAUGAUUUUCACAGUAGCAAAUUUGUCAAAAAUUUCGACUCCACAUGGGACCCAAAGUGCGACUCAACACCGCACAAUGUAAACGGCAAAUACAAAAUUGCAUGUGUGGUGACGUCAUAAGUCUAGCUUUCCGUCCACUAUAAAAGGGCAGCAAAUGUUAUAGUUUGUGAGGCACAACAAAACCGAGAGAUAUAUUCCCAAACAUGUCUAAAGCCUGCUUGCUUUUGUUUCUCGUUGGGGUGGUGGUUUUUAUCAUCACUCCUUCUCUAGCUAACCAACAUCAUGGUAAUGAGCUUCCCAAGGGUAAUGGUAGGAAGCCUUUCCCAGGUGAGAAGCAACCACAACACAAGCCAUUCCCCGAACACCGACCACCAAUACACCGUGGACCUGGCGGUAAGGAGGAGGAGCCACCACAUGGAGAAAAACCUCCUCAUAGACACUUAUUGACUGUGGAAGUUGAGGGCACACAUAAACCUCCACGAUACUCAGGUGGUAAACCUCCAAGACACUCGGGAGGUAAACCUCCACAUGUUGAGGGGUUCCUUGCUGGUAAAGCACCCAUGAAGCCAUUCCCUGGUGACAAACCAUCUAAGGGUAAUGAAAAGGGAGCACCUCAUGAACCUAAACCUCCUCAUAGACACUUAUUGAGUGUGGAAGUUGAGGGCACACAUAAACCUCCACAACACUCAGGUGGUAAACCUCCACGACAUUCAGGGGGUAAACCUCCACAUGUUGAAGGAUUCCCUGGUGACAAACCAUCCAAGGGUAAGGGAAAGGGGGCACCUCAUGAACCCAAACCUCCUCACAGACACCUAUUGAGUGUGGAAGUUGAGGGCACACAUAAACCUCCACAACAAUCAGGUGGUAAACCUCCACGACAUUCAGGGGGUAAACCUCCACAUGUUGAAGGAUUCCCUGGUGACAAACCAUCCAAGGGUAAGGGAAAGGGAGCACCUCAUGAACCCAAACCUCCUCAUAGACACCUAUUGAAUGUCGAAGUUGAGGACACACAUAAGCCUCCACAACACUCAGGGGGUAAACCUCCACAUGUUGAAGGAUUCCCCGACGGUAAGCCACCCAUGAAACCAUUCCCCGGUGACAAACCAUCCAAGGGUAAGGGAAAGGGAGUACCUCAUGAACCUAAACCUCCUCAUAGACACCUCUUAAGUGAGCCACACAAAUAUGUGAUACCACCCAAAGGUAAGGGAGAGAAGCCUCCCCAUGAGCAGAAACCACACCAUGGACACCACCCAGGGCACCAUCUGGGAAUAGAAAAUUAAAGCAUAAAUCAUCCUAAGGUUCCCAUCAACCUACAGUUAGAAGAUCAUCAUCAGCGUGUAUGGUAGGACUAUUUUACUAUAGGAAUAACAGUUGAUGUUGAUUUAUCCUUUUAUUAGUUGUGUAGCUAUCUAGUUACGUAUAUUUUGUUCCUGGCUUGGAGGUUGUGCCGUGCCUACCUCAUGACUAUGUUGUUUUAGAAAUUCCAGCCUCAUCUAUGGUUCGACAUUUUAUGAUAUGAACUCUAUAUAUUAACUAGUUUGGGAUCUUUUGCUUUCUAAGUUUAUUUCACCUAUUGAACUAUCUAAC